rnacentral:pre_miRNA from 1 species
GAAUGGACACAGAACACAGUAAUUGUUUACAGAAAUGAGGAUUCUCCCUGCUCUGUCAUGGGGAAAAGAAAAUGACAGCAAAGAGAAUCCUCAGUUCUGUAAACAAACUCAGUCUCCAAUUC